AUGCCUUCGGGUAGGACUCGGAAGGAUGAUUCAAUAUCAUCUGUUCUUAUCAGUUUAAUAUCUGAUACGUCCCCUUUCUGGGGACCAUAUUUUAAAUGCCUGCUCUGUGGUGAGUACAAUUUGAUUUGAAAGAAGGGGCUGCAUUUCUUCCCCUCUAAUGGAAUGCAUAA
rnacentral:snRNA from 1 species